CUACGGGGGGCAGCAGUGGGGAAUUUUGCGCAAUGGGGGAAACCCUGACGCAGCAAUACCGCGUGAGUGAAGAAGGCCUUUGGGUCGUAAAGCUCUUUUCUUGGGGAAGAUAGUGACGGUACCCAAGGAAUAAGCACCGGCUAACUCCGUGCCAGCAGCCGCGGUAAUACGGAGGGUGCAAGCGUUGUUCGGAUUUACUGGGCGUAAAGGGCACGUAGGCGGCACAGCAAGUUAAGGGUGAAAUCCCGGGGCUCAACUCCGGAACUGCUCUUAAAACUGCUGAGCUAGAGAUAGUCAGAGGCGGGUGGAAUUCCAGGUGUAGAGGUGAAAUUCGUAGAUAUCUGGAGGAACACCGGUGGCGAAGGCGGCCCGCUGGGGCUAUUCUGACGCUAAGGUGCGAAAGCGUGGGGAGCGAACGGGAUUAGAUACCCGUGUUAGUC
rnacentral:rRNA from 1 species